AUGUGAAGACACGAGGAAAAAGCCGUCUACAAGCCAUAGAUGGAGGUUCAGAAGAAAUCAACCCUGCUGAACAUUUUGAUCUUGGACUCCCAGUCUCUAAAACUGUGAGUAAAUACAUUUCUGUUGUUUGCGCCACCCAGUCUGUGUACCUUGUUACGGCAGCCUUAGCAAACUAGUAGAAUAAGAAAAAGAGAAGAGGGGCGCCUGGGUGACUCAGUCGGUUGAGAGUCCGACUUCAGAAGCUCAGGUCAUGAUCUCGCGGUUCAUGAGAGCACAGCCCACGUUAGGCUCUGUGCUGACAGCUCAGAGCCUGGAGCGUGCUUCGGACUCUGUGUCUCCCUCUCUCUCUGCUCCUCCCCACUCAUGCUCUGUGUCUGUCUGUCUCUCUCAAAAGUAAAUAAAAACAUUAAAAAAAAAGAAAGAAAGGAAAAAGAGAAGAGAUACAAGGACUAGAAAGGAAGAAACACAAGUGUGAUAUGAUUGUCUGCAUCAGGAAAUGGUAUCAGUGACCUAAAAUUAAAUGCAUGAACUCUCCCUGCCCUUUGCAUUACAUUUUGUUGUGGUGGUGGUGGUGGUGGUGGUGGUGGUGGCACAAGCACAGGUAAAUUCACAAGAAUGUUAAAGAAUAAUAGAAACAUUUCAUCUUGGUGAUAGGUACUUUUUCCUUCUUUCUGUCUUUAUUUUUUUUUUGGGGGGGGUGGGUGGGGGAAGAGAGGCAGGCAGAGGAAGGCAAGCAGGCCCCAUGCCCAGCCUGCUGCCCCAUGAGGGGCUCAGUCUCACAACCGUGAGAUCAUGACCUGAGCCGAAAUCAAGAAUUGUACAUGCAAGGGACUGAGCCACCCACAUGCCCCUCAUAUACUCCUGUAUAUAGUUGAAAUGCUUAAUUUUUUGUAAAAAUAAAAAACUCUGAGAUCUAAAUAAACGCAAAUGUUAAACUCUAAAGGACUCAUAAUGUUUUUUAAAAGUCCCACAAUGCUGUUCUCUACUCUCUGUACACAUCUGUCUUUUCAGAAGACAGUAAGCUCACCCGCAUAACUACCAUCACCACAGCAGGAAGGUUAAGACCAGCAAAGAGGGGCACCUGGGUGGCUCAGUCAGUUAAGCAUCUGACUUAGGCUCAGUUCACAAACGCGUGGUUCGUGAGUUCGAGCCCCGUGUCAGGCUCUGUGCUGGAGCCUGUGUCCCUCUCUCUCUCUGCCCCUCCAGAGCCUGUGGAUUCUGUGUCCCUCUCUCUCUGCCCCUCCCCUGCUUGUGCUCUUUCUGUCUCAAAAAUAAAAUAAAAACAUUAAAAAAAGAAAACAGCAAAGAAAGCAUUUUAAUAUCCAAGACGCUUAUUUUUAAGUCAGAAUAAACACCAACUUUAGGUUACUGCCCCCCUUUCAAGCCUUGCACAAUCUCCUAUAAUCAGAAAGGUGCUGGGGGCAAAUAUACCACACUCUGCACCUGUGAGUACUCAGUGAGCUCAUUAAGGAGAAGACUCAGCAGAGUAGGCUUACAGGCACCAGGUGUAAUAAGGUUCAUGGUCAAAGUCAAGAUCAUAACAGGGAUUGUUGGGACAAAACUAGGGAUGGAUAAUGUCAUGGAAUCUUUAUUGCUAUUGAAAAACAAAAUCUUAUAAACUUCUAUCUCCUUAAAAAAAACAACAAAAAAGAAAAUCUCAGAUUCAGUAAAAUUUGCAUUGGCCCCACCUGUGCUUUUUAACAAUAAUCUUCCUUCCCCAAUCAUCCAUCCCUUCUCUGUGCUUAGGAUAAUGACUCAAACUUUUCCCCGGACUUUUCCUAAGGGGAAAAAGGACAAGAAUACCUAACAACAACAACAACAAAAAUGUAAUGCAAAGGGCAGGGAGAGUUCAUGCAUUUAAUUUUAGGUUACUUACCAGGUUUUUCUUGAGUCAUGGCCAGGGUUAUUUUGGUGCUGGCACGGGGAAUGUGGUUUGCAUGGGUGUGGGUUAGAUUAAAAACAAACAAACAAACAAACUCUCUCUCACACCAAGUGCUCAAAGAACAGGUAUGUAAACCGGAUCCAUGAGACCACCAGACAAGCCCCUCCCACAGAUCCAACCAGGAUACCUGCCAGGAGAUUCUGCUAAAAAGGGUUUCCCACAGUCCAGAAAGGGACAGGAGAGUGGCUAACAGAGUCACUAUUUCAAAUCCUCUGACACCUUCUUUUUCCGGUGGAAGUAUUAAGCAACGUUAGAGAAAAGAAUCCCACUUUAAAAAAUACAUUAAAUAACAGAUGAGGUGCUUAAAAUAUUAUGUUACUCCCUUUAUAAGCAUGUUACCCAUAGUUCAUUUGUUUUACACACACAUAUGUGUGUGUGUAUGUAUAUGUGUGUAUAUAUAUGUAUGUGUGUGUGUGUAUAUAUAUAUAUAUAUAUAUAUAUAUAUAUAUUCCCCCCCCCCAAGGGAAAACAGAGUACCCAUCAAAUAACAUAAUUAAAAAUACAUCCUAGAGCCUGGUAAAACCAGAGACAGCAAAGUGACCCAAGAGGACAAGGAAGUCUGGAAGUCAAGCACUCUAUCUGUUCUACAGUCAGCAAGGUUAAACUGCCACAAGAGACUUCCAAGAAUUAAAUUCUGAAAGAUCAUGGUUUUAAAAAUAUGAAGCAAAGGGAGCCCCUGAUUCACAGGAGGUUCCUUGAAGAACCAGGACUUCAUCCAACCCUGAGACCUUCCCAAUUUCUUAAAUUGCUACCUUCUAUAGCUAUUUGUGCACUUAACAUUACCCAGUGUCUCUCUGACCAGACUACAAGCUCCAUGAGGCCAAGAACUAGGUUUUAUCCAUUUCUCCACAUCUAGUAGGGCCUAAACUGACAGUCUGAAUAUAUCAAACACUCAGUAAAUAUUAGUUGGGUCUAAGUGAAUCUGGCAUAAAAGGCCUGGUGAAAUAGAAGGAAGAAGUAUACAGUUUUUGGAAAGAGCCUGUUCAAAAGAAAUGCCCAUUUAAAAUGUUAAAAGAUGAACAGCCAACCUUUGCAAGAAAGAGAUAAAAUGUUCCUCUAAGUAAAAUUGAGGAAGAAAAGCACCAGAGCUUCCCCUUGCAAGCUUCUAAAAAGAUAAAAGCAUGUCUGGUUUGAGUGAUAAUGUAUUACAGGCUUAGGCAAGAACAGGUGAAAAAAAUCUGAUAAAAGCAAUCAACCAAGACGCUGCCUGUAACUCAAUGAAGAGGGAGCCAUGCUUGGCCAGGCUGCUUCAAAACAUCCUGGUAUCAAGAUGGCUUUAAAGUAAGGAAGGCUCAAACAGGAGAGAGAAGAUAAAUGCUUCAUCUUCAACUUGUUCUUUAUCGCAGAUGCUCUCUCACUCCUAUUAAGUAUUUAUGGAGUGCCAACAACCGGUGAGACUUCGAGGUGAAGGGAAACACCCCAGCCAUUGCUGCUCAGGAGUUGGCCUUGACCUGUGUUCUCACUAGCUGUUAAACAUAACAUGCCUAACUUGGAGCAGUGCCAUGACAGCAAGUGUCUCUCAGGAACCGUUUGUUAUAACCUCUCAAAGAGCAGUGAGUCAGUUUCAGCUCCUCUCUGAGAAGUCUGAGACUCCUGAAUGAAAAAUCUUCAAGAUUCAAAAAGGGAUAACCAUUUUGUAGAAAUCGGCAAGGUGAUCCUAAAUUCAGAUGGAAAUACAAGCAACCUGGUAUGGCCAAUUUUGAAAAAGAAUAACAAAGUUGGAAAACAUAUACUACCAGAUUUUAAAACUUACUAUAAAACUGUAAGUAACCAAGAGUAACCAAAACACUGAUAGACUCGUAAGUCAAUGGAAGAGAACUGAGUCCAGAAAUAAUCCUUUACACUUAAUGGCCAGUUGAUUCUGCCAAGGGAAUUCAGUGGGGAAAAGAUGGUCUUUUCAACAACUGGUAUCUAGAUUACUGCUGCAAUGAUGUUAAAAAAAAGAGAGAGAGAAAAAAGAACUUACACCCUUAUCUCACACCUAUCUCAAAAUUAACUCAAAAUGGAAUAUUGACAUAUGUAAGGGCUGAAACUAUAAAACUUCUAGAUAAAAACAGAGGAGAAAAUCUUUGUGACCUUGGGUCAGGCAAAGAUUUUUUUAUAUAUGACACCAAAAGCAUAAUCAAUAAGAGAAAAACAUUGAUAAAACUGAACUUAAUCAAAAUUUAAAAUGUUUGCUCUUCAAAAGACAACCACUUAAGAAAAUGAAAAGACAAGCCACACAUUGGGAGAAAUUAUUUGCAAAUCACAUAUCUGAUAAAAUAUUUGUAUCCAGAAUACAUAAGGAAUUCUUAUAACUCAAUAAUAAGAUGACAACAACCCAAUACAAAACCAACUGAGCAAAGAUUUGAAGACAUUUCACCAAAGAAAAUAUAUAAACUGCUAAUGAACACAUGAAAAUAAGCUCAACAUCAUUACUUAUUAGGGAAACACAAAUUAACGUUUAUUUAUUUUUGAGACAGAGAGAGACAGAGCAUGAACGGGGGAGGGGCAGAGAGAGAGGGAGACACAGAAUCAGAAGCAGGCUCCAGGCUCUGAGCCAUCAGCCCAGAGCCCGACGCGGGGCUCGAACUCAUGGACCACGAGAUCGUGACCCGGGCUGAAGUCGGACGCUUAACCGACUGAGCCACCCAGGCGCCCCUAGGGAAACACAAAUUAAAACCACAAAUAGAUACCACUACAUACCUACUAGAAUUCCUAAGACUGACAAUACCAGGUGUUGAGAGGAUGUGACAAAAUAGGAACCCUCACUCACUGCUUAAACGUACAGCCACUUUGAAAAUGUUUGUCAGUUUCUUAAAAGGUUAAACAAAGACCUCCCAGGUGGAAAUACACGACCACACAAAAACCUGCAUGUGAAUGUUCACAGCAGCAUCAUUCAUAACUACCUCAACUAAAAACAAUCCAAAUGUCUUAUCACCUGGUGAAUGGAUAGCCAAAAUGUAGUAAAUUCAUAUACCAGAAUACUAUUUAGCAAUAAAAAGGAACAACACAUUCAACAUGGAUGAACCUAGUCAAGGAAGCCAAACGCAAAAGACCAUAUAGUCUUUCAUUUAUAAGAAAUCUCUAGGAAACACCAAUCCAGAGACAGAAGCGUAAGUGGUUGGGACUGAAGGUGGAAGCGGGGACCCACCCCAAACAUAUAAUUGGAUUUUAGUUGCAAAACUGGAUUUUAGUGAUAGUUGUACUACUGUGUGUUUACUAAAAAUCACCGAAUUGUACAUUUACAAUAGAUGAAGUUUAUAGUACGUAAACUAUAUUUAAAAAACCACCAGCAACCAACCACCUGUAUUACUUAAGAGCCCUAACUGCAGGUUCCUAUACUGUGAAAAUCUUUUUGGGAUAUUUUGUAGAAGAAAUGGAACUUUCAGGCAGAGAACUAAGAAAUGGAUUUCUCUGCAAGAGUGGUUCUCCAACUUUAGCACAUGUAAGAAUCACUUGGAAAACCUGUUGAAACACAGAUAACCCCAGAUAUCCCUCCACCCCAGAUAGGUCUGGGGUGGGGUUCAUUACUUUGCACUUCUUUUUUUAAAAUCUGCAUUCCUACAGAGCGCCAGGAACACACAGGAAAAACACAGAUUGCAAAGUCCCACCAGAGAUUACCUCAAAUCUUUAUGAAAGAAGGACAAGCAAUCUAUACCUCUUACAGGAUAGAAUCUUAUAAUUGAUCAAUCUCAUGGUUUAGCACUCUAUGAGCUACAGCACUCUCAUGGACCAUUAAUACAUAGUUUCAAGAGUAAAAUCUGUGUUCCCGUGUUGAAAGUGACAGAGAAAAUGUCCUAUAUUUUAAAUGGUUCAAAGUCAGAAGGGUUCCGCUUUAGGCCUUUCUAAAUGAAGUCAUUUGUGGAGAAGUUAAUUAAAUUUAUUCAAGGUUUCUAAACGUGCUUCCACAUUUAAAAAAAUGUUUUCUCCUUUAAACAUGUUUAGGUUACCUUUCAAGUUGAAUCUAAUUUUAAAUCUGUUCAAGUGCAAGAUCAUGUGUUUUUCUGGAUUCUUAACAGGGAUGUGUAAUUGUUUGAUCUAUAAGAUCACAAUUCUGGGGCGCCUGGGUGGCUCAGUCGGUUAAGCGUCCAACUUCAGCUCAGGUCAUGAUCUCACGGUCCGUGAGUUCGAGCCCUGCAUCGGGCUCUGUGCUGACAGCUCAGAGCCUGGAGCCUGCUUCAGAUUCUGUGUCUCCUUCUCUCUCUGUUCCUGCUCUGUCUCUCAGAGGGCUCAUGAACCCUCCCCCGUUCAUGCUCUGUCUCUCUCUGUCUCAAAAAUAAAUAAACAUUAAAAAAAAAAUUUUAACAUCACAAUUCUGACAGGCACUGAUAACACUCAGCAGCAGCAGCAGCACCACCAUUUUUAAUGGUUCAAUUCUACAGUGUCCUGCAUACCUACUGCAGUCUAAUCCUGGGCUAUCACCGAAGACACAGACACAGAAGACACAGAAGACCCCGUUCUUACCAGGAAUUCACCAUACUUUUCAACAAUUAUAAAAACAAUACUACUCAACAUCAGUGUAUGUGGGAACAGACAGGGGAAAUUCUUAUAGAAGUAGGACUGCAUCCUAGAAAAAAAAUGUAACGGCACUUAAAUUAUUUUCAAUUUCUCUUAUCAGUAUGGCUCAAAGGAGUGGGAGUAGUCUCGCACACUGCAAUGCCAUAUUGCAAGAGCCAGAAAGAGCCAGACUGAGGACCUCAAUGUAAACGUGCCUGGAGGAGCGCGCGCACACACAUGCACACGCGCGCGCGCGCGCACACACACACACACACACACACACACACACACACACACACACAGUAUUCCCUAAUAGCGCCUCAUUGUUUUGUCAGAUUCUGACUGAACUGGCCUGGAGUGGGGCUCAAGCACUCUAGGGAGAGGAUUUGGUGGUAGAUUAUGUUCCUAAAGAGUCGCAACAAUACUGUCUGGCCCACAGGCUCCUCUGCAAUGGCCCCUCUCCAUAUCACCAGGCUAGCCCAGAUUCUUGUUUUGACCCACAGAAUGGGGAGGAAGUGACUUCUGAGGCCAGGCCCUGACAGAACUGCAGCCAUGCCUUCACUGCUUGGCAUGCUCCCUCUUGGAACCCUGCUGCCAUGUAACAAAAUCCAAGUUAGCCACGUGGAGGAGGGGUCCUUGCCUCCUAGCCACACCUAGCCACACCUCCUAGCCACACCAAGGUGCCAGACUGGUCUUAUGAGUGAAACCAUCAUAGAUGUUCCACUUCCAGUCACCAUCUUGACUACAACCUGAGAUGCCCCUGCUAUGGCCACACAGAGAAGAACUGCCUGGCUGAGCCCUGCCUGAAUUCCUGAGUCACAGAAGUAUGAGCAAAUAUAAGAUUUUGGAGUUGGUUUUGUUACCUAAUAAAAGACAACAGAAAUAGGUUUCAAGCUGGUUCUCGAACAUUCUUCCAGGGAAAUGACAUGCAGAUUGUAGUCAACAGGUAUGGAGUAUACUUACACCUCAGGGGUAGGAGAAGCCUGAAUCUAGCUACUGAGGGAAGAAUCACAAGACAGACCUGAUCUGCUUCCUUACCACUGAAGUUUUCCAGAUCUGUAGACAAAAGGCUUUAUUGUUUUCCAAAUUUUAUACUAAAAAAGCAAGUUACAUGAGCAUUUCUAAAUUCCUUUCUUAAGGCCAAAUGGAACACAGGACUGCCAUUACACACCAACCCAUCAAUGUGGUUCUACUCUUUUUUUUUCUUAAUUUUUUUUAAUGUUUAUUUAUUUCUGAGACAGAGAGAGACAGAGCGUGAGUGGAGGAGGGGCAGAGAGAGAGGGAGACACAGAAUCCGAAGCAGGCUCCAGGCUCUGAGCUGUCAGCACAGAGCCCGAUGCGGGGCUCCAACACACAAACCGUGAGAUCAUGACCUGAGCCGAAGUUGGUCGCUCAACUGACUGAGCCACCCAGGUGCCCCAAUGUGGUUCUACUCUUAAGAGUUAGCUGCAACAGAAGGAACAAGAGAUCUUGCAGAUGUGGAUUUCAACAGUGUCAUCUAUUCUGCUCUUCCCUCUAAAUACCAGCACCUCAUGUUAAUUUUGUAAUAGGAAAGAAAAUGUAUACCUAAUCAUAUUUAAAAUGCCACCCAUGACAAAGGCUGCAAAAGAUGAUGCUGGGGUCACGCAGAUUGAAAUCCUGGGUCUGCCAUUUCCCAUCUGUAAGAUGGGAAGCCUGGUCCACAACAAGCACUCAAGAAAUGUCAAGUUCAUGUUUCCCUUCUCUCUUCCCUCCCAAGUCAAUGUUGUAUAAAGUGUUGUAAAGCCCUAGGAUUUUCUCGAAUGUACUCUAAGCAAAUACAAUAAACAAAGUCACAUAUAGCUCACCUAACAGUGCUCAAGGGAAUUAAACAGAUGUAUGUACACAUACACGUAUACCAUCCAGGUACACUGGACAAAUCCUACUCAUCCAAGUACCAUGCAGGUAUUACUGUCCCUUUUAAGCAUUUGAAAUGUCAACUAUCUGAGAAAGAAAAUGAACGAAGUUGCUUCUAUGUUUCUGGACAGGUUGUCCAAAGCUCUUUGGAUGAGAAAGCAGAUAACUUAGCUGCCAGAGAACAGGCCGUGCUCAUUUAGAGAUGGAUCCUUAAAAGGAGAACUGCAGAGAUGAGCUCUAAGCCCAAAGCAGCUAUGUGAGUCUUAAUGAUCUCAACUCACAACUGAGAGCUGGCUACUGAACACUUCAGCGUUGGGAAGUAACAAGUCCUGGAGUCUACUGCUUGAGAGAGAGGAAGCUUUCGUUCAAGCAGGGCAAACAGUCUUCACAUUCACAAGGAUGCCGGCAGGUAGAGGAGCUUAGUUCUGCUAGGAUUUAGGAAACUGAUGAUACUCAAUGGAAUCCUUCCUGAUUCUUACAUAAGGUGGUAAACAGAAUCUCCUACUUUAACUGGCAUUAAACUGCUAAUGGCAGCCUCCUGCUAAUUAUAGCUCAGUCUUCACCUGUCUCUGUUACACUGCACUUUCCCUCACUCUUUUAGCCACUGAAAUCACAGAACGAAAAAAAUGAGACUAUAUCUGCUUUUCAGGUCUCAACUUUAUAUGACUUGUUCAAGAUCUUAUGUCUGCUACAUUAAGUGUGAAAUCUGCAUUUCAUCAUUUUGGGCCUGUUUGUUCAUUCUCCUCUCAGGUACAAGGGCUGAACUUGGUGGCAGUGGUAAAGGACUUAGAGAUCUUCUGGGGCAAGCAAGUAAGUAAGAGAACAUUGUUGCAAAGUUCUCAUCCAGUAUAUGAAGUGAUAAAACACAAACUGAAGGUACACUGUGAUAAGUUAAAGAUGUGUAUGGUAAAACCUAGAGCAACCACUAAUAAAAUAAACCAAAGAGGUAAAAAGCUAAUAAGCUCAUAUUGGAGAUAAAAAGUAAUAAUACAAAAUUCUAUCAGUCCAGGGGUGCCUGGGUGGCUCAGUUAGUUAAGGGUCUGACUCUUGAUUUCGACUUGGGUCAUGAUCUCAUGGUUUAUGAGUUUGAGGCUCGCGUGCGGCUCUGUGCUGACAGCGUGGAGACUGCUUGGGAUUGUCUGUCUCCCUCUCUCUCUGCCCUUCCUCAGCUUGCUUGCUCUCUCUCAAAAAUAAAUAAAUAAAUAUAUUUUUUAAUGUUUUUUAAUUUUUAAUGUUUAUUUUUGAGAGAGAGAGUGAGAGCACAAGUGGAGGUGGGGCAGAGAGAGAAAGGGAAACUCAGAAUCUGAAGCAGGCUCCAGGCUCUGAGCUGUCAGCACAGAGCCUGACAUAGGGCUCGAACUCAUGAACCGUUGAGAGAUCAUGACCUGAGCCAAAGUGGGACACAACUGACUGAGCACCCAGGCGCCCCAAAAAAUUUUUAAAAAUUCUUAGUCCAGAUGAGGUCAGGAAAAGAGGAAAAAAUAAAACAAACAAAAAAUAAAUAAAACAAAAAAAAAAGAGCAAAAGAUAAAAAAUAAGAUGAUCAACUUCAACCCAAUUAUAUUGAUAACUGCAUUAAAUGCAAACAUUCCAGUUAAGAGGCAAAGAUAAUCUGGAUUAAAAAAAGCAACACAAAAUUAUAUGCUUUCACUAAGAAAUCUACUUUAAAUAGGAUUAAAUACAAAGAUAUAGAUAGGUUAAAAGUAAAAAGAUUGAAAUAACCAUGCAAACACUAAGCAAAAGAAAGCUGGAUUGGCUACAAGUAUUUCUAAAGAUUUUAACAUUUUCCUCUGUGACUGAUAAAACAAGUAGACAGAACAUCAGAAUAAUUCCAGAAGACUUGAAAAACACUAUCAACCAAACUGAUCUGGCAUUGAUAGAAAAUCCACCUAAAAGCAGAAAAGACUUUUCUUGGGGCGCCUGGGUGGCGCAGUCGGUUAAGCGUCCGACUUCAGCCAGGUCACGAUCUUGCGGUGCGUGAGUUCGAGCCCCGCAUCAGGCUCUGGGCUGAUGGCUCAGAGCCUGGAGCCUGUUUCCGAUUCUGUGUCUCCCUCUCUCUCUGCCCCUCCCCCAUUCAUGCUCUGUCUCUCUCUGUCCCAAAAAUAAAUAAACGUUGAAAAAAAAAAUUUAAAAAAAAAAAAAAAAAAAAGAAAAGACUUUUCUUUUCAUAUUCUUGUGGAACAUUCACCAAGUGAGAACACAUUCUGAGUCACAAAACAAAUCUCAAAAAAUUUAAGAGGAUUCAUUUGCAAUGAUUUGGAUGGAGCUAGAGAGUAUAAUGCUUAACGAAAUAAGUCCGAGAAAGACAAAUACCAUACAAUUUCACUCAUAUGUGGAAGUGAAGAAACAAAGAGCAAAGGAAAAAAAGAGAGAGAGAGAAAGAGACAAAGGGAGAGAUUCUUAACUAAAGAGAACAGAAUAACAGUUACCAGAGGGGAGGUGGGGGGAUGGGUGAAAUAGGUGAAGGGGACUAAGAGUGCACUUGUCACGAUGAGCACUGAGUAACAUACAGAAUUAUUGAAUCACUAUAUUGUACACCUGAACCAGUAUGUUAACAAUACUAGAAUUAAAAUAAAAACUUAAUGGAAAACUUUUAAGAGGAUUUAAGUCAUACAAAGUAUGUUUUCUAAUCACAACAGAAUUAAACCAAAAUUAAUAACAGAAAGAUAUCUGGAAAACCCUCAAAUAUCCGGCAAUUAAAUAAGAUGCUUCUAAUAACCUGUGAGUUAUAGAAAGAAAAUCAGAGAAAAUUAGAUAAUACAUAGAAAUGGACAAAAAAGAAAAGCAAUAUAUGAAAAUUUAUGGAAUACAUAAUACAAAAAAUAAAUAAAACACUGUUUACAGGGAAAUUUACAGUUUUACAUGCUUAUAGGAGAAAAUAAGAAAAGUCUAAAAUUAAUGAUCUAAACUUUAAUCUUUAGGAGCUAAAGAAAGAAGAGCCAAUUAAACUGAAAGAAGGAUGAAAUAAAAACCAGAAAUCAACAAAACAGAAGACAGAAAACAAUAUAGUAAUUGAAUCAAUGAAACCAAAAUCUGGCUCACUGAAACAAUUAAUAAAAUUGAUAAAC
rnacentral:lncRNA from 1 species